AUACGACUGUCUAAUUAAAACAAAGCAUUGUGAUUUCCACCGACUUGCCAUAACGCAAUGUGAUCUCUGCCCGAUGCUCUGAUGGUCGAAUUGAAGAAAUUCAAAAAAGUGCUGGUAAACGAAGGGAGUAACUACUGACCGUCACCCAUGCAUUGAUUCCUGAUAU
rnacentral:ncRNA from 1 species